rnacentral:rRNA from 1 species
AUUGAACGCUGGCGGCAUGCCUUACACAUGCAAGUCGAACGGCAGCGCGGGAGCAAUCCUGGCGGCGAGUGGCGAACGGGUGAGUAAUAUAUCGGAACGUGCCCUGUAGCGGGGGAUAACCUAUCGAAAGAUGGACUAAUACCGCAUACGCUCUACGGAGGAAAGCGGGGUUCUUGGGCAACUGAGGACCUCGCACUAUAGGAGCGGCCGAUAUCGGAUUAGCUAGUUGGCGGGUAAAAGCCCACCAAGGCGACGAUCCGUAGCUGGUCUGAGAGGAUGAUCAGCCACACUGGAACUGAGACAC